GCUCGGAUGGUGAAAUGGUAGACACUGGGGACUUAAAAUCCCUUGCGUGAAUAACGCGUGCUGGUUCGAGUCCAGUUCCGAGCA
rnacentral:tRNA from 1 species